rnacentral:lncRNA from 1 species
AUUUAGAAUAAUUUUUCUCAUAAUUUGAGCAACAUGCAUGAGAGAAGUCCUCAACCUCUGCCAAAUUAAGUGUAUCCUAUGACUCUCCAUCUGAAAACAUCCUUUCUGGGGCCAGGGAAGUUUCUUCCAUCCCUGUCUUUUGGUGGCUGUGUUGAAGAUGCAAUGAGAAGAUAUUGGUCAUCCUUUUCCUAGGGACUGCUGAGCACCAGACUGAAAAUGCACGUCUGUCAAACUGUUUUACCAUCAAAUAAUGAAGACGUUUGCGUGCCAUUUUGGAUUUUGCAGCUCACUACUGCUUAUCUCCCGGAGGCCCGUGGCGUCCAGUGUUGGUCCACCAGUUACACUUCGCAGAAGGUAGAACCCUGGGAGGAAGAGAGCCAGGAAGGGAAGAGUCUAUGGGUACAAAGAGUUCGUGCACAUGGAACACACCAUACCACAUCACUAAGAAAAUUAACCUUCCGUGUCUGGAUGAGGAAAGUCAGGUGCAGAGAAGAAUAUGAAGGCAAUUAAAGAACAAAAACCAUAACAUGCCCCAAAUUACGAAAAGAACUGGCAUUUGCAAAGAAUAACAUCCUCACUCAGGCCUCAUGUUGUAAGUGAGGAAACUACGAAUCAAAGACAACAAGCAGCCCUCUGCUUAGCUCAGCUCCCAGGAACCAUUCUCUUCCCAGAGCACAUGUUCUGGAGGGGCCUGGUUUUCCAUCUUCUCUGGGUAAGUUACCUGAUAGAGCCUUCGCUGUCAGGCUCUGGCUUCUCU